UCCUAAACUGUUCACCUCCAUUUGAUUCUGGACAAUCAAUUUGAAGAGUGGUGACAUCAUUACUAUGAAACCAGCAGAUUUCUGGCAUUUGAUGGCCACUGGGCCUGUGACACCACGGACAAGGUUGCCCAAAGGGCCCUGAGUGGCUGAGAUGUUCCAGCUGCUACUGACUAGCGGAAAGGAAUUAUCCUUCAGGAUGGAAUAAGCUGCCCAAGCUGGGAAAUGCUGCUCACCAUGCUGGGAGCACAACAGGUAAGAAUGGGAUGCACUGAGGGAGAGGACGGACAGGGAGAAGAUGUGAAACCACUCUGCAGUGUAGAGAGAGGCAGGGGUGACUCCCAUCUCCACCAGCUCACCUUGCUCUCAGGCAGGAGUAGUGAAUGUGUGUGUGGUGCUAUGAGGUCCCAGAAGCCAUUUAGAAGGAGUUUCCCUUUGAUUGUAUCAAUAGCAGUGACAGCACAGAGGGAUGAGGAGGCAGCAGAGCACUGCUCCCCCGGGUUGGACCAGCUUUCCAUGUGCAUCGAUUUUCUUUAGCACCUGAACAGAAGAUGAUGUUGCCUCUUCAGUGGGAGAACGACUCCCAGGCCAACGACGAUUGCGUGAAGCUUGAAACUUAUUGCAUGAGCUUGAAACUUUAGGUGGUCUGACCACUGCAAGGCCGAAAGCCCAUGUGCUUGGUUCUUGUCUGACCAUUUGAGACACAUGGAGCAGGCUGUGCACUGUGACAGCCCAUCCCCGUGGGCCACAGAGGUUUUCUUGGAGACUGGGGACUUCAAGAUCCAGCAGAACCCGCAGCAAGCUCUGUCACC